UGUAUACAUACCCGCUGCCACCAACAAAAUAUAGCCUUUCUGGAUGCAUAGAAGUCUCUAAUUAUUAGAACUAAACAUUGUCAAUAAAAAUAAAAAACAAGCUGCCAAGAUGUCUCAGCAAGAUGUUGCUUGCAAAGUGGGAAAGAGGUAUAAAGGUAAGUUAUGAAUUCUGAUGACAUGAUAUGAUACUUUGAACAUAAUAAAUGUUUUAUUUUAAGUAAAAUGUCCUUUUUAAUUUACUGUUUUAAUUUGGAUUUUCCAGAAUUACGAGAUUAUUUUUAUAAUACUGCUUAUAAUAAACAAUACAAGCAAUUUUUUAAUAGGAAUAAUGAAUGCCAACAUACAUUACUGGGAAGUGCUAUGGGGCUAUUGAAAACAUGUCAAAACUAAGUUAAGAAAAAACGUUUCUGAUAGGAGUUUGUUGGGUCUUGAAGCAGUCUGGAAGAAAAUCUCCCCCUCCCUCUUUGUAUACACCAAUCUUUUGUCUUUUCUCUGUGAUAUUAUAUCAUUUCUCCCUUCCCUUCCUUCCCUUCAAAUCUUCUGUAGUAACUGUUGAGGGGAGAACUUUUCACUCAUUAUUGCAUCAAAUAUUUCUUCUGUCUCUUUCUCUUUUCUUCUUUUAAAGCCUUGAAAGAAUGUUAACAUUUGUGAUUGUUUUAUGGCCCUUGGAUGUUCUGCUUUUUUUGUAUUCCCCUAUCCCAUCCCACCAUACGCAUUCACUUCCGAACAUGUCUAUUCAAACAUCUUUGUACUCAGUGAUUCUUUCCUUGGAAAUUUUGCUACAGUUAUGAAUCAUGAGGUAAAUAAUCUGUUUUUUUUUUCAGGUAGUCUUAGGUGACCCCUAUGAAAGGGCUGUUCAACUUCUAAAGGGGUGGUGACCCAUGGGCUGAGAACCACUGUUCUGGGCUUAUUGUUUACUCUUUACUGAUUUUAUUAGAGGCAAAUAUACAUUGUUUUCAUGAGCAUUUUGGCACAGGACUUCUAGUGAUGAAAAUUUAUCUGCCUAUUUCUCUAACUUAGAAAUAGUCACAUUUAUUUGUCUUACUACUGUUUUGUGCUGUUGACUGCUGUUGAGGGGUGUUUUCCCCCAUUCUCACUGUAGGGAAUUAUUUUCAACAAAUAGUUCUGUUUUUACUUCUUAGUUCUAUAAUUGAUAUAUUUGUUUUUUAUGUUGGUGGCCAUUCUUAGGAUACUUUUCAUCUUGCUAUGUCUGGGUAGGUGUUCAGUCAUCCUACCACCACUUACUGAGAAGACCAUCUAACUGAGUGAAAUACCUUUUUGUGUUCUGUCCCUUUAUUUCCCUCCUGUCUCUUUUUUGAGACUGGGGGGCUGGGGGGCGUAGGUGGGUGUAUGUAUGAUGUAGGUACCUGUUUAUUGGGGAUGCUAAGUGUGUGUGAAAGCCAAAAGUCACUAUCAGGUGUCUUCUUAAAUUGCUCUCUACUUUAGUGUUUGAGACAGGAUCUCUCAUUCAUUGUCAGCUAGUGUGGUUGGCCAAUAGGGAUCGGCCUCUCUCGUGCUUCCCAACACUGGCAUUAAAGUCAGUGCCGCUGUGCCUUGCACAUAUGAGCUGGGGAUCUGGAGUCAGGCCCUCAUGCUUGCCUAUCACCUAAGCUAUCUCCCAGCAUCACAGUCUAUUCUACAGUACAAGUUUAGUGUGGACUUGGUAUAUUUUUUUAAGAAUUACUUAUUUUAUGUGUAUGAGUACACUGUCGCUGUUGUCAGACACGCCAGAAAAGGGCAUUGGAUCCCAUUACAGAUGGUUGUGAGCCACCCUGUGGUUGCUGGGAAUUGAACUCAGGACCUCUAUGAGCCAUAUCUCCAGCCUUUACAAAAAUAAUUUACAUUAUAAUUUAAAAAUUUUAAAAUAGGAAUGUAGAACCAUUCUUUCUAUAUACCUUUUUUUCUUUCAGAUGUUUUUGUUCUUAGUUAUUUUCCUGUAUGAUAUACGCUGUAGAGAAAACUCUUUCACUGAUUGUACUUGUUGCUUUUGCUGUUAUAAAAUAUCUGGAUAUAAACCAAGGGGGAAAACGAUUAUUGUGGCUUACAGUUGUGAGGGAAUGUGACGGCAGGGUGGGGAUGGUGUGGCAGGUCAGAGAGGAAGCAGGAUGGUCACAUUUCAUCCUUACACUGGAGGCAACGAGAGGGAAGCAGAAGUGAAAGCAGUCUAGAAACCUCAGAGCCUGCCCUUGUUGAUGUACUUACAAGAUUCUACCUCUUAAAGAUUCCAUAACUUUCCUAAACAGUGCUGUUAACUUGGCAUCAAGUGUUCCAGCACAUAGGCCUAGGAGGCCAUUUUAGCAUUUACAGAACCACACUGAUAAGUUUUAGAAAUUGGGCUUUUGCAUAAUUUACAAAUUAAUUUGGGAAGAUUGGUAUUUUUGAACUGUGCCCUUUUUUUUGUAUAUGUGUGUUUUCUGCAUUAAAAGGGAAUUUUCAAAAAAAAUUCCUUUCAAUUUAAAUAGCUAUUAUUAAUGGGUUCUAUUUUAUCUUUUAACUGGUUGCCAAUAUCAAUGAGUAUUGUAUGUUACACUAUUUUUCCACAUUUUUUAACUCUUUCUAAUAAUCUUUCAUUGAACUUAAUGGUUUUCAAGAAUGGAAUAUCAUCUUGUCUUAUUUCAGUUCCUAGGCCUCUCAGUCAUAGUUACUUGAUAGAAGUAAGCUUUCUAUUUCAAAUUAAAAUGUCAUCUAAUAAUUAUGUUACAGAAUGGAACAGAUGAAAUUAUUCAAUUUUAAUAACUUGUAACUCGGUGUGUAGUACAUUGAUUUCAAUGUACAGUCAAUUUAUCAUAAAUUAUUAAAGAUUUUGUUUC
rnacentral:lncRNA from 1 species